AGGGGCGGCAGGUAAACAAAGGGGCGGCAGGUAGCUGCAGGUAAACAAAGGGGCGGCAGGUAGCUGCAUGUAAACAAAGGGGCGGCAGGUAGCUGCAGGUAAACAAAGGGGCGUCAGGUAGCGGCAGGUAAACAAAGGGGCGGCAGGUAGCUGCAGGUAAACAAAGGGGCGGAAGGUAGCUGCAGGUAAACAAAGGGGCGGAAGGUAGCGGCAGGUAAACAAAGUGGCGGCAGGUAGCUGCAGGUAAACAAAGGGGCGGCAGGUAGCUGCAGCUAAACAAAGGGGCGGCAGGUAGCGGCAGGUAAACAAAGGGGCGGCAGGUAGCUGCAGGUAAACAAAGGGGCGGCAGGUAGCUGCAGGUAAACAAAGGGGCGGCAGGUAGCUGCAGGUAAACAAAGGGGCGGC
ensembl:lncRNA